UCGAAUCCUGCUGAGCAGACGACCCGAGAACAUGUUUAUCACACGGGGGUCGGGACGUGGGAAACCACGGACCGAUGCCCGAGCACGGCGUCGACCACCGGUCGCUCGUCGUGCGAACAACCAACCCGGGCGCAGAAACGCGCCAAGGAAAACAUAAAAAGGAUUGUCUGCCUCCCGUCGUGAAUGUUUGCGGUACGAUGGGAGGAUCACGGACGCUAAAGAAACA
rnacentral:rRNA from 1 species